AGCCAUGCGCAAGGCCUAUAGGUAAACGGAUGCAUGGGCCGCACACAGCACAACCAAGGGAUAGGGGGCUGCGCACAUAGAGCGCGUACCUGCAGCACGACCAAACUAGGUACACAUGGGUGUCGUACACCAGACCAGGCCAUUUAGGAGCCAUUCACUAUGGAGUUUGACCCCGAGGAAGAUCACACGCUCGUAGGCCUAACACUAAAAGACCUG
rnacentral:lncRNA from 1 species